CCUACGGGUGGCAGCAGUGGGGAAUAUUGGACAAUGGGGGAAACCCUGAUCCAGCGACGCCGCGUGAGGGAAGAAGGAUUUCGGUACGUAAAGCCCUAUCAGUAGGGAAGAAAAUGACGGUACCUGACUAAUAAGCACCGGCUAACUCCGUGCCAGCAGCCGCGGUAAUACGUAGGGGGCAAGCGUUAUCCGGAUUCACUGGGUGUAAAGGGAGCGUAGGCGGCAGCGAAAGUCUGGAGUGAAAUGCCGGGGCCCAACCCCGGAACUGCACUUGAAACUGUGACGCUGGAGUGUAGGAGAGGUAAGUGGAAUUCUUGGUGUAGCGGUGAAAUGCGUAGAGAUCAAGAGGAACA
rnacentral:rRNA from 1 species